rnacentral:rRNA from 1 species
GAUGAACGCUGGCGGCGUGCCUAAUACAUGCAAGUCGAGCGAACAGACGAGGAGCUUGCUCCUCUGACGUUAGCGGCGGACGGGUGAGUAACACGUGGAUAACCUACCUAUAAGACUGGGAUAACUUCGGGAAACCGGAGCUAAUACCGGAUAAUAUAUUGAACCGCAUGGUUCAAUAGUGAAAGACGGUUUUGCUGUCACUUAUAGAUGGAUCAGCGCCGCAUUAGCUAGUUGGUAAGGUAACGGCUUACCAAGGCAACGAUGCGUAGCCGACCUGAGAGGGUGAUCGGCCACACUGGAACUGAGACACGGUCCAGACUCCUACGGGAGGCAGCAGUAGGGAAUCGUCCGCAAUGGGCGAGAGCCUGACGGAGCAACGCCGCGUGAGUGAUGAAGGUCUUCGGAUCGUAAAACUCUGUUAUUAGGGAAGAACAAAUGUGUAAGUAACUAUGCACGUCUUGACGGUACCUAAUCAGAAAGCCACGGCUAACUACGUG